AUACGGAGGAUCCGAGCGUUAUCCGGAAUCAUUGGGUUUAAAGGGUCCGUAGGCGGGUUAGUAAGUCAGUGGUGAAAUCCGGCAGCUUAACUGUCGAAUUGCCGUUGAUACUGCUAAUCUUGAAUUACUGUGAAGUGGUUAGAAUAUGUAGUGUAGCGGUGAAAUGCUUAGAUAUUACAUGGAAUACCAAUUGCGAAGGCAGAUCACUAACAGUAUAUUGACGCUGAUGGACGAAAGCGUGGGGAGCAAACAGGAUUAGAUACCCUGGUAGUCCACGCCGUAAACGAUGGAUACUAGCUGUUUGUCUACCUUCGGGCGGAUGAGUGGCUAAGCGAAAGUGAUAAGUAUCCCACCUGGGGAGUACGGUCGCAAGACUGAA
rnacentral:rRNA from 1 species